rnacentral:rRNA from 1 species
UGGGGAAUAUUGCACAAUGGGCGCAAGCCUGAUGCAGCCAUUCCGCGUGUGUGAAGAAGGCCUUCGGGUUGUAAAGCACUUUCAGCGGGGAGGAAGGCGAUAAGGUUAAUAACCUCAUCGAUUGACGUUACCCGCAGAAGAAGCACCGGCUAACUCCGUGCCAGCAGCCGCGGUAAUACGGAGGGUGCAAGCGUUAAUCGGAAUUACUGGGCGUAAAGCGCACGCAGGCGGUCUGUCAAGUCGGAUGUGAAAUCCCCGGGCUCAACCUGGGAACUGCAUUCGAAACUGGCAGGCUAGAGUCUUGUAGAGGGGGGUAGAAUUCCAGGUGUAGCGGUGAAAUGCGUAGAGAUCUGGAGGAAUACCGGUGGCGAAGGCGGCCCCCUGGACAAAGACUGACGCUCAGGUGCGAAAGCGUGGGGAGCAAACAGG